rnacentral:rRNA from 1 species
AUGAACGCUAGCUACAGGCUUAACACAUGCAAGUCGAGGGGCAGCAUGGUCUUAGCUUGCUAAGGCCGAUGGCGACCGGCGCACGGGUGAGUAACACGUAUCCAACCUGCCGUCUACUCUUGGACAGCCUUCUGAAAGGAAGAUUAAUACAAGAUGGCAUCAUGAGUCCGCAUGUUCACAUGAUUAAAGGUAUUCCGGUAGACGAUGGGGAUGCGUUCCAUUAGAUAGUAGGCGGGGUAACGGCCCACCUAGUCUUCGAUGGAUAGGGGUUCUGAGAGGAAGGUCCCCCACAUUGGAACUGAGACACGGUCCAAACUCCUACGGGAGGCAGCAGUGAGGAAUAUUGGUCAAUGGGCGAGAGCCUGAACCAGCCAAGUAGCGUGAAGGAUGACUGCCCUAUGGGUUGUAAACUUCUUUUAUAAAGGAAUAAAGUCGGGUAUGCAUACCCGUUUGCAUGUACUUUAUGAAUAAGGAUCGGCUAACUCCGUGCCAGCAGCCGCGGUAAUACGGAGGAUCCGAGCGUUAUCCGGAUUUAUUGGGUUUAAAGGGAGCGUAGAUGGAUGUUUAAGUCAGUUGUGAAAGUUUGCGGCUCAACCGUAAAAUUGCAGUUGAUACUGGAUAUCUUGAGUGCAGUUGAGGCAGGCGGAAUUCGUGGUGUAGCGGUGAAAUGCUUAGAUAUCACGAAGAACUCCGAUUGCGAAGGCAGCCUGCUAAGCUGCAACUGACAUUGAGGCUCGAAAGUGUGGGUAUCAAACAGGAUUAGAUACCCUGGUAGUCCACACGGUAAACGAUGAAUACUCGCUGUUUGCGAUAUACGGCAAGCGGCCAAGCGAAAGCGUUAAGUAUUCCACCUGGGGAGUACGCCGGCAACGGUGAAACUCAAAGGAAUUGACGGGGGCCCGCACAAGCGGAGGAACAUGUGGUUUAAUUCGAUGAUACGCGAGGAACCUUACCCGGGCUUAAAUUGCAGAUGAAUUACGGUGAAAGCCGUAAGCCGCAAGGCAUCUGUGAAGGUGCUGCAUGGUUGUCGUCAGCUCGUGCCGUGAGGUGUCGGCUUAAGUGCCAUAACGAGCGCAACCCUUGUUGUCAGUUACUAACAGGUCAUGCUGAGGACUCUGACAAGACUGCCAUCGUAAGAUGUGAGGAAGGUGGGGAUGACGUCAAAUCAGCACGGCCCUUACGUCCGGGGCUACACACGUGUUACAAUGGGGGGUACAGAGGGCCGCUACCACGCGAGUGGAUGCCAAUCCCCAAAACCUCUCUCAGUUCGGACUGGAGUCUGCAACCCGACUCCACGAAGCUGGAUUCGCUAGUAAUCGCGCAUCAGCCACGGCGCGGUGAAUACGUUCCCGGGCCUUGUACACACCGCCCGUCAAGCCAUGGGAGCCGGGGGUACCUGAAGUGCGUAACCGCGAGGAGCGCCCUAGGGUAAAACUGGUGACUGGGGCU